UUGGUUAAAGCCAAAAUAGAGGCUUAUCACUGUUAAUGAUAGAAAUGGAUUAUAAUACUCCUAACCAAG
rnacentral:tRNA from 1 species